GGUUAAGCGACUAAGCGUACACGGUGGAUGCCCUGGCAGUCAGAGGCGAUGAAGGACGUGCUAAUCUGCGAUAAGCGUCGGUAAGGUGAUAUGAACCGUUAUAACCGGCGAUUUCCGAAUGGGGAAACCCAGUGUGUUUCGACACACUAUCAUUAACUGAAUCCAUAGGUUAAUGAGGCGAACCGGGGGAACUGAAACAUCUAAGUACCCCGAGGAAAAGAAAUCAACCGAGAUUCCCCCAGUAGCGGCGAGCGAACGGGGAGCAGCCCAGAGCCUGAAUCAGUGUGUGUGUUAGUGGAAGCGUCUGGAAAGGCGCGCGAUACAGGGUGACAGCCCCGUACACAAAAAUGCACAUGCUGUGAGCUCGAUGAGUAGGGCGGGACACGUGGUAUCCUGUCUGAAUAUGGGGGGACCAUCCUCCAAGGCUAAAUACUCCUGACUGACCGAUAGUGAACCAGUACCGUGAGGGAAAGGCGAAAAGAACCCCGGCGAGGGGAGUGAAAAAGAACCUGAAACCGUGUACGUACAAGCAGUGGGAGCACGCUUAGGCGUGUGACUGCGUACCUUUUGUAUAAUGGGUCAGCGACUUAUAUUCUGUAGCAAGGUUAACCGAAUAGGGGAGCCGAAGGGAAACCGAGUCUUAACUGGGCGUUAAGUUGCAGGGUAUAGACCCGAAACCCGGUGAUCUAGCCAUGGGCAGGUUGAAGGUUGGGUAACACUAACUGGAGGACCGAACCGACUAAUGUUGAAAAAUUAGCGGAUGACUUGUGGCUGGGGGUGAAAGGCCAAUCAAACCGGGAGAUAGCUGGUUCUCCCCGAAAGCUAUUUAGGUAGCGCCUCGUGAAUUCAUCUCCGGGGGUAGAGCACUGUUUCGGCAAGGGGGUCAUCCCGACUUACCAACCCGAUGCAAACUGCGAAUACCGGAGAAUGUUAUCACGGGAGACACACGGCGGGUGCUAACGUCCGUCGUGAAGAGGGAAACAACCCAGACCGCCAGCUAAGGUCCCAAAGUCAUGGUUAAGUGGGAAACGAUGUGGGAAGGCCCAGACAGCCAGGAUGUUGGCUUAGAAGCAGCCAUCAUUUAAAGAAAGCGUAAUAGCUCACUGGUCGAGUCGGCCUGCGCGGAAGAUGUAACGGGGCUAAACCAUGCACCGAAGCUGCGGCAGCGACGCUUAUGCGUUGUUGGGUAGGGGAGCGUUCUGUAAGCCUGCGAAGGUGUGCUGUGAGGCAUGCUGGAGGUAUCAGAAGUGCGAAUGCUGACAUAAGUAACGAUAAAGCGGGUGAAAAGCCCGCUCGCCGGAAGACCAAGGGUUCCUGUCCAACGUUAAUCGGGGCAGGGUGAGUCGACCCCUAAGGCGAGGCCGAAAGGCGUAGUCGAUGGGAAACAGGUUAAUAUUCCUGUACUUGGUGUUACUGCGAAGGGGGGACGGAGAAGGCUAUGUUGGCCGGGCGACGGUUGUCCCGGUUUAAGCGUGUAGGCUGGUUUUCCAGGCAAAUCCGGAAAAUCAAGGCUGAGGCGUGAUGACGAGGCACUACGGUGCUGAAGCAACAAAUGCCCUGCUUCCAGGAAAAGCCUCUAAGCAUCAGGUAACAUCAAAUCGUACCCCAAACCGACACAGGUGGUCAGGUAGAGAAUACCAAGGCGCUUGAGAGAACUCGGGUGAAGGAACUAGGCAAAAUGGUGCCGUAACUUCGGGAGAAGGCACGCUGAUAUGUAGGUGAAGUCCCUCGCGGAUGGAGCUGAAAUCAGUCGAAGAUACCAGCUGGCUGCAACUGUUUAUUAAAAACACAGCACUGUGCAAACACGAAAGUGGACGUAUACGGUGUGACGCCUGCCCGGUGCCGGAAGGUUAAUUGAUGGGGUCAGCGCAAGCGAAGCUCUUGAUCGAAGCCCCGGUAAACGGCGGCCGUAACUAUAACGGUCCUAAGGUAGCGAAAUUCCUUGUCGGGUAAGUUCCGACCUGCACGAAUGGCGUAAUGAUGGCCAGGCUGUCUCCACCCGAGACUCAGUGAAAUUGAACUCGCUGUGAAGAUGCAGUGUACCCGCGGCAAGACGGAAAGACCCCGUGAACCUUUACUAUAGCUUGACACUGAACAUUGAGCCUUGAUGUGUAGGAUAGGUGGGAGGCUUGGAAGUGUGGACGCCAGUCUGCAUGGAGCCGACCUUGAAAUACCACCCUUUAAUGUUUGAUGUUCUAACGUGGACCCGUGAUCCGGGUUGCGGACAGUGUCUGGUGGGUAGUUUGACUGGGGCGGUCUCCUCCUAAAGAGUAACGGAGGAGCACGAAGGUUGGCUAAUCCUGGUCGGACAUCAGGAGGUUAGUGCAAUGGCAUAAGCCAGCUUGACUGCGAGCGUGACGGCGCGAGCAGGUGCGAAAGCAGGUCAUAGUGAUCCGGUGGUUCUGAAUGGAAGGGCCAUCGCUCAACGGAUAAAAGGUACUCCGGGGAUAACAGGCUGAUACCGCCCAAGAGUUCAUAUCGACGGCGGUGUUUGGCACCUCGAUGUCGGCUCAUCACAUCCUGGGGCUGAAGUAGGUCCCAAGGGUAUGGCUGUUCGCCAUUUAAAGUGGUACGCGAGCUGGGUUUAGAACGUCGUGAGACAGUUCGGUCCCUAUCUGCCGUGGGCGCUGGAGAACUGAGGGGGGCUGCUCCUAGUACGAGAGGACCGGAGUGGACGCAUCACUGGUGUUCGGGUUGUCAUGCCAAUGGCACUGCCCGGUAGCUAAAUGCGGAAGAGAUAAGUGCUGAAAGCAUCUAAGCACGAAACUUGCCCCGAGAUGAGUUCUCCCUGACUCCUUGAGAGUCCUGAAGGAACGUUGAAGACGACGACGUUGAUAGGCCGGGUGUGUAAGCGCAGCGAUGCGUUGAGCUAACCGGUACUAAUGAACCGUGAGGCUUAACCUU
rnacentral:rRNA from 1 species